rnacentral:rRNA from 1 species
CCUACGGGGGGCAGCAGUGAGGAAUAUUGGUCAAUGGGCGCGAGCCUGAACCAGCCAAGUCGCGUGAGGGAUGAAGGUUCUAUGGAUCGUAAACCUCUUUUAUAAGGGAAUAAAGUGUGGGACGUGUCCUAUUUUGUAUGUACCUUAUGAAUAAGGAUCGGCUAACUCCGUGCCAGCAGCCGCGGUAAUACGGAGGAGCCGAGCGUUAACCGGAUUUAUUGGGUUUAAAGGGUGCGUAGGCGGCCUUUUAAGUCAGCGGUGAAAGUCUGUGGCUCAACCAUAGAAUUGCCGUUGAAACUGGGGGGCUUGAGUAUGUGUGAGGCAGGCGGAAUGCGAGGUGUAGCAGUGAAAUGCUUAGAUAUCACGCAGAACCCCGGUUGCGAAGGCGACCAGC